GGGAACUUGAUUUUUAAAACAAUCUUAGUGUGAAGUCUUUUUGCAAAAUAAGCUUGGUUAGCAUCUGAUACUUCUGUUGCCUGUGUAAACAGGAAUUUGAGUUUUCAUCGUGUGUUUAAAAUGACAUGCAAUUAGAAGAUAAAGAAAUGGAGAGCUGCUUGGCAGUUCUGGUUUCCAGGGCCUUCCCCUGGAGCAGCCCAGCAUGUUCCACCUCUGUGAGAAGGAUACUGCGAGGUAGGUCUUGGGAGUCCUGGGCACAGACUUGCUCUUUUUCAGGCUGUGUUCACAGUGAAGGUCACCACAGCCUGAGCCCCAAUGAUCCAGAUCAUGGCCACGUCCCUCUUCUUACCCUGCCAGCCUCAGAACACCCUCAUGUCAAGUGCAAACAGCAACACCAUGUGAAGGAGGAAAUCGCCUUUGUCUCAGCUCCGUGCUCAGUGAUGUUUGUCAGAGAUGACACCUAUUCAAUACCCCAGCUUCACAGGCAGCAGAAGUAA
rnacentral:lncRNA from 1 species